UCCGGUUUGUCACCGGCAGUCUCCUAUGAGUCCCCGACAUUACUCGCUGGCAACUGAGGACAAGGGUUGCGCUCGUUGCGCCACUUAAGGCAACACCUCACGGCACGAGCUGACGACAGCCAUGCACCACCUGUGCAGGCUCCGUAGAGCGCCGGCUUUCACCGGCUUUACCCUGCAUGUCAAGCCCAGGUAAGGUUCUUCGCGUUGCUUCGAAUUAAGCCACAUGCUCCGCCGCUUGUGCGGGUCCCCGUCAAUUCCUUUGAGUUUUAGCCUCGCGGCCGUACUCCCCAGGCGGGGCACUUCAUGCGUUUGCGCCGGCCCCCAAGGGGUCGCUCCCCCAGAGACCUAGUGCCCAUCGUUUACGGCGUGGACUAC
rnacentral:misc_RNA from 1 species